rnacentral:rRNA from 2 species
UUUAUAUGAGAGUUUGAUCCUGGCUCAGGAUGAACGCUGGCGGCGUGCCUAAUACAUGCAAGUCGAACGAGUUCUCGUUGAUGAUUGGUGCUUGCACCGAGAUUCAACAUGGAACGAGUGGCGGACGGGUGAGUAACACGUGGGUAACCUGCCCUUAAGUGGGGGAUAACAUUUGGAAACAGAUGCUAAUACCGCAUAGAUCCAAGAACCGCAUGGGUUCUUGGCUGAAAGAUGGCGUAAGCUAUCGCUUUUGGAUGGACCCGCGGUCGUAUUAGCUAGUUGGUGAGGUAAUGGCGUCACCAAGGCGAUGAUAC